rnacentral:rRNA from 1 species
CAGUCGCCGCGGGAAUACGUAGGUGGCGAACGUUGUCCGGAAUUAUUGGGCGUAAAGCGCGCGCAGGCGGAUAGGUCAGUCUGUCUUAAAAGUUCGGGGCUUAACCCCGUGAUGGGAUGGAAACUGCCAAUCUAGAGUAUCGGAGAGGAAAGUGGAAUUCCUAGUGUAGCGGUGAAAUGCGUAGAUAUUAGGAAGAACACCAGUGGCGAAGGCGACUUUCUGGACGAAAACUGACGCUGAGGCGCGAAAGCCAGGGGAGCGAACGGGAUUAGAUACCCCUGUAGUCCCUGUCUCUUAUACA